ensembl:lncRNA
GCGAAACCCCGCAUCAGCGCGCUCGGCGGAGAGCUCCGAGUUCGAGCACGCACCGCGGAGAGAGGCGGGGAGUCAGCGCGCGGUGCCAGACGUAGCAGCGAGACACGAUGCCCGAAGCUCAUGAGUGGAGAACAGCAAGGAUUUUUUUUUUUUUUUUUUUUCCAUGAACACUGAUCCCAAAAUACAGCAAGGAGGACAUGCGGGGAGUUCUGAAAUGUCUGUUUCUCCCAGUGGAGCGCACUCAGGAAACAAACCAGAAGUGCGAUUAGGAUAUGGAAGGCCUUGGCUGCAAAAGUUCAAGGGAAGAAAACUUGGAGUACUCGGUUGGCAUGGUGAUGAGAAGGGCGGUCAGGUGAUCUCGUCCCUAUUUUUCUCAUCUGCUGACUGAUUUAACAAACGUGGGCCCAUCUGGUGGUUAUUAAGUGAUUGCCUCUCAAGGUCUCACCUUGACAGAUAAUCUAGUUGGAGAAGGGAGCGGGUUCUUCCUUCCCAUUUUGCAUCUGCUGCCCUUGGAACAGAUGCCUCGAAGAUCAACCUGUGAUUUAUAGCACCAGAGUUGGGUGUGGGAUCUCCCUGAUAACUCACAGAGGUUCUUGGUCCUGAAGAAUCUGAUACUGACCACCGCACAGGGAGGAAACAGGAUGAGCUGAACCGCAUGCCAAGUCUAAUAGAGCUAUAUUUAUGUUCUGAAAAACUCCUGACUAUAAGUGGAAGCACCUCCUGGCAACAAAACCUGGUGCAGGCAGUGAGUACACAUUCCUCUGUAAACUAAAGUGACCUAUUGCUUCAUUUUUGACAGCCAGGGGCCUCAUUUGGGAUGCAGCUGUUAUUGUAUGGAAACAGACACCCUCUUGCUGUGUCAGGCCAUCCUUAAACAGACAAGGAGUCCCUGUUUUCAACACAUGGCAUGCUUCUGGUUCCAUCUCUGAAUGCACUUUGGUGUUUCUAUCCAUGCCAAUGGCAGCUCAAUUAGAAGUGUUCUAUGCAUACAGAGCCCUGCAGAGGAUUCAAAAAUCAGUUAGUCCUCAGAGCAUUUCUAGAUGUGUUGCUUUCUGUGCAGACAGUGCUGUGGUACUUCUGGUUCGCUGCUGAAGUGAGGGCCAUUUUCCAGUCCUAUUUAACAUAGUAGUUAAUGAUCAGGGUGAUAUGGCAGAAGAUACCCUUGGCCUGUUUACAGAUGACACAAAACUGGGACGAACAGCUGAUAGGCCAAAGGCCGUGCAGCUAUCCCGAGGGUCCUCAGCUGUCUGCAGAAGUGGGCUGACAGGAACCUUGAGAAGUUCAUCCAGGAGAAGUGUGGAGUCCUGCACCUGGCACCGGGAUAUGCUAGGGGAAUCCAGCUCAAGAACAGGGCCAAGGGUCCUAGUGGACACCAAGUUUGAGUUAAAGUAUGUUCUUGCUGCUAAGGAGCAUAAUGGUUUAUUGGGCUGCAUUUGGCAAAGAAUUGGCAGUGAGUUGAGGGAGAUGCUCCUUCCACUCUGAGCAGCGUGGGUGAGGUCAAACCUGGAGUGCUGUGUCCAGUUUUGGGCUCCCAGUACAAGAGACAGUUGGACACUCUGGAGAGAGUCCAGUGGAGAGGCAGCGAGAUGAUGAAGGGACUGGAGCAUCUCUUCUGUGAGGAGGGGCUAAAAGAGCUGGGACUGCUUAACUUAAAGAAAAUUAGGCUCUGGGGAACCUUAUCAAUGUCCGUAAAUGCCUGAGGGGAGGGUGCAGAGAGGUUGGAGCCAGGCUUUGUUCAGUGGUACCCAGUGCCAGGACAAGAGGGGAAGGGCACAAACUGGAACACAGGAAGCUCCCCCUGAACAUCAGGCAGCUCUUCUAUGCUGUGUGGGUGACUGAAUCCUGGCACAGGCUGCCCAGAUGCUGUGGGGUCUUCUGUGGGGAGAUCUUCAGAAGCUGCCUGGACAGGGCACCCUGUUCUGGGUGUCCCUGCUUGGGCAGGGGUUGGGCUAGAGGGACACAGAGGCCCCCACCAGCCUCAGCCACUGAUUCCACCUUCCUUCCAGCACUGGCAUUGCACAGCCUCGGUAGCAGCACGUGUUGGUGUGUCCCAGAUCUUCUAUGGAGUCUCUUCAGUGCGCUCCUACACACCUGUGAACCUCAGUGAACCUGACUGCAGCUCCUUCCUGCACUUGCCUGUCCUUCCCAAGCCUCGUGUGGGUUCACUGAGGUCAGAUACAGUGCUGGGCCAAGGGGUUGUCAGCAUCAUUGCCGGCAGAGAUGGGAACUGUUUAAAAGCAGGCAGCUGAGGCUAAACAGGAUUAAACAAGCACCAGUUCUGCAGCUGCAAAUACCAUGCACUGAAUGCUUUCCCUUAGCGGGCUGUGGGAAUGCUCAGUGGUGCAGCGAGGUGCAGCUGCCUUUCAGGGAAGAUGGCCUCCAUGGGUGAUGUCCCACGGUGCCGCGUUCAGUGCCCCAUGAUGGUGCCUGCAGGCUCCCAGUGGGGGUGGGGGUGUACCCUGCAUUGGUCAGUGAGAGGUGGCAGCAGUACAUCAGUGCUAGAAGAAACAGAAGGACUUUCUGCCUUUGCCCUCUCUUCCCUCUCAUUGGUUUGUAAGCUGCUGUGUGUGUGAGAAACAGCGCAACCUGAAUCUCCCGGUGGAUUUCCCAGCCCUGUGCAGGGAGGGGGGGCCCAAAAGCAUGUGAAGCACACAGAGCCAGCCUGGUGCUUCCUCAUCGCUCUGGAUGAUAUGUCCGUGCUGGCACAUGCUGCCACUAUGUCCUCUGCUUUAAACAUUUAGUAGCAUAAGUAAGAGUCACCUCAGCCAGCCUCUGACCAGAGCUGAAGCAGAUGCUCAGGAGAGGAUAAAAUUACAGCAGGUAUAGGAAAAUACUGCUGUUAUUAUACACCCCCAAUCUCCUGGGAUGCUGCGGUGCAAAGGCUUCUUCAGCUGGGCUGCACUUUCGUUGCAGAGUCCAACUUAUUUCACUGUACCAUUCUUCUGUAGAAUGAUCCAGUUACUUUGUGAUCCUAUUUUUACGUUUUGGAGUCCAG